AAUGUCCUAAGGAGACAGCCACCAACCCCAUCCCUGGACCUAGCAGAGAUAAGGAGCUAGGCAGCCAUCUGGAAGCAAGAGGCUUACCAUGGCCUAGGACAGGGAGCUGACCAAAGCCAAAGGACAAGGCAGAACCCUGGGAGGCACUGACCGUGAGAAGCAAGAGGCAGGAAUGUCAUCUACAGAGAUAACAGAUCCCCCUGCCAGCCUGCUGGAGCAAAGGCCCAGGUGGGGCUUGGUACCACGUGGGCAGGCCAAGACCCUGCGCUGCAUCCUGAGGAAUUCGCAGUACCCCUGGAUGAGCUGGUACCAGCAGGAUCUCCAGCAGCAACUACAGUUUUUGUCCACUCUGAGGAGUCCUGGGGACAAGAAGGAGGUUGUAUCCCUCCCUGGAGCCAGUUAUGUGGCCACACGGGUCAGUGACACUGAACUAAGUCUGCAAGUCACCAAUGUGACCGAGGGCAGAACCCUGUACUGCGCCUGCAGUAAGGACACAGUGGGAAGCCCUGCUUGA